ACAUGCUGUGAGCUCGAUGAGUAGGGCGGGACACGUGGUAUCCUGUCUGAAUAUGGGGGGACCAUCCUCCAAGGCUAAAUACUCCUGACUGACCGAUAGUGAACCAGUACCGUGAGGGAAAGGCGAAAAGAACCCCGGCGAGGGGAGUGAAAAAGAACCUGAAACCGUGUACGUACAAGCAGUGGGAGCCUCUUUAUGGGGUGACUGCGUACCUUUUGUAUAAUGGGUCAGCGACUUAUAUUCUGUAGCAAGGUUAACCGAAUAGGGGAGCCGAAGGGAAACCGAGUCUUAACUGGGCGUUAAGUUGCAGGGUAUAGACCCGAAACCCGGUGAUCUAGCCAUGGGCAGGUUGAAGGUUGGGUAACACUAACUGGAGGACCGAACCGACUAAUGUUGAAAAAUUAGCGGAUGACUUGUGGCUGGGGGUGAAAGGCCAAUCAAACCGGGAGAUAGCUGGUUCUCCCCGAAAGCUAUUUAGGUAGCGCCUCGUGAAUUCAUCUCCGGGGGUAGAGCACUGUUUCGGCAAGGGGGUCAUCCCGACUUACCAACCCGAUGCAAACUGCGAAUACCGGAGAAUGUUAUCACGGGAGACACACGGCGGGUGCUAACGUCCGUCGUGAAGAGGGAAACAACCCAGACCGCCAGCUAAGGUCCCAAAGUCAUGGUUAAGUGGGAAACGAUGUGGGAAGGCCCAGACAGCCAGGAUGUUGGCUUAGAAGCAGCCAUCAUUUAAAGAAAGCGUAAUAGCUCACUGGUCGAGUCGGCCUGCGCGGAAGAUGUAACGGGGCUAAACCAUGCACCGAAGCUGCGGCAGCGACACUAAGUGUUGUUGGGUAGGGGAGCGUUCUGUAAGCCUGUGAAGGUGUACUGUGAGGUAUGCUGGAGGUAUCAGAAGUGCGAAUGCUGACAUAAGUAACGAUAAAGCGGGUGAAAAGCCCGCUCGCCGGAAGACCAAGGGUUCCUGUCCAACGUUAAUCGGGGCAGGGUGAGUCGACCCCUAAGGCGAGGCCGAAAGGCGUAGUCGAUGGGAAACAGGUUAAUAUUCCUGUACUUGGUGUUACUGCGAAGGGGGGACGGAGAAGGCUAUGUUGGCCGGGCGACGGUUGUCCCGGUUUAAGCGUGUAGGCUGGUUUUCCAGGCAAAUCCGGAAAAUCAAGGCUGAGGCGUGAUGACGAGGCACUACGGUGCUGAAGCAACAAAUGCCCUGCUUCCAGGAAAAGCCUCUAAGCAUCAGGUAACAUCAAAUCGUACCCCAAACCGACACAGGUGGUCAGGUAGAGAAUACCAAGGCGCUUGAGAGAACUCGGGUGAAGGAACUAGGCAAAAUGGUGCCGUAACUUCGGGAGAAGGCACGCUGAUAUGUAGGUGAAGCGACUUGCUCGUGGAGCUGAAAUCAGUCGAAGAUACCAGCUGGCUGCAACUGUUUAUUAAAAACACAGCACUGUGCAAACACGAAAGUGGACGUAUACGGUGUGACGCCUGCCCGGUGCCGGAAGGUUAAUUGAUGGGGUUAGCGCAAGCGAAGCUCUUGAUCGAAGCCCCGGUAAACGGCGGCCGUAACUAUAACGGUCCUAAGGUAGCGAAAUUCCUUGUCGGGUAAGUUCCGACCUGCACGAAUGGCGUAAUGAUGGCCAGGCUGUCUCCACCCGAGACUCAGUGAAAUUGAACUCGCUGUGAAGAUGCAGUGUACCCGCGGCAAGACGGAAAGACCCCGUGAACCUUUACUAUAGCUUGACACUGAACAUUGAGCCUUGAUGUGUAGGAUAGGUGGGAGGCUUUGAAGUGUGGACGCCAGUCUGCAUGGAGCCGACCUUGAAAUACCACCCUUUAAUGUUUGAUGUUCUAACGUUGGCCCCUGAUCGGGGUUGCGGACAGUGUCUGGUGGGUAGUUUGACUGGGGCGGUCUCCUCCUAAAGAGUAACGGAGGAGCACGAAGGUUGGCUAAUCCUGGUCGGACAUCAGGAGGUUAGUGCAAUGGCAUAAGCCAGCUUGACUGCGAGCGUGACGGCGCGAGCAGGUGCGAAAGCAGGUCAUAGUGAUCCGGUGGUUCUGAAUGGAAGGGCCAUCGCUCAACGGAUAAAAGGUACUCCGGGGAUAACAGGCUGAUACCGCCCAAGAGUUCAUAUCGACGGCGGUGUUUGGCACCUCGAUGUCGGCUCAUCACAUCCUGGGGCUGAAGUAGGUCCCAAGGGUAUGGCUGUUCGCCAUUUAAAGUGGUACGCGAGCUGGGUUUAGAACGUCGUGAGACAGUUCGGUCCCUAUCUGCCGUGGGCGCUGGAGAACUGAGGGGGGCUGCUCCUAGUACGAGAGGACCGGAGUGGACGCAUCACUGGUGUUCGGGUUGUCAUGCCAAUGGCACUGCCCGGUAGCUAAAUGCGGAAGAGAUAAGUGCUGAAAGCAUCUAAGCACGAAACUUGCCCCGAGAUGAGUUCUCCCUGACUCCUUGAGAGUCCUGAAGGAACGUUGAAGACGACGACGUUGAUA
rnacentral:rRNA from 1 species